rnacentral:rRNA from 1 species
UACGUAGGGUGCAAGCGUUAAUCGGAAUUACUGGGCGUAAAGCGUGCGCAGGCGGUGAUGUAAGACAGAUGUGAAAUCCCCGGGCUCAACCUGGGAACUGCAUUUGUGACUGCAUGGCUGGAGUGCGGCAGAGGGGGAUGGAAUUCCGCGUGUAGCAGUGAAAUGCGUAGAUAUGCGGAGGAACACCGAUGGCGAAGGCAAUCCCCUGGGCCUGCACUGACGCUCAUGCAC